GCCUUUAUAGCUCAGUGGUAGAGCGCGACACUAGUAUACAACAGCCCCCCUUCCCUUUCCCACCCCUGGAGAAAUGAUUGGAUCAGACGAGCUGCUGUAGGCUAGCAAUGUCGAGGCCGUCGGUUCGACUCCGACUGGAGGCA